CCUGGAGUCAUGACCCUCUGUAUUCUCUGGGGGCUUCAUCCCAGCAGUUCUGUCGCUCCCACCUUCUCCACUAUCUUACUGGAUGCCUGAGCAUAAUUCACCCUCUACUCAAUGCCCACAGAUUCCCGCUCCAGAAGUUUAACUACUUCUUUCGUAGUUACAUUAUCCGGCCACCUACUGCCUGAACCACAGGUUCCCUGACACAAAU